rnacentral:rRNA from 1 species
GAUGAACGCUGGCGGCGUGCCUAAUACAUGCAAGUCGAGCGAACAGACGAGGAGCUUGCUCCUCUGACGUUAGCGGAGGGCGGGUGAGUAACACGUGGAUAACCCACCUAUAAGACUGGGAUAAUUUCGGGAAACCGGAGCUAAUCCCAGAUAAUAUAUUGAACCGCAUGGUGCAAUAGUGAAAGACGGCUUUGCUGUCACUUAUAGAUGGAUCCGCGCCGCAUUAGAUAGUUGGUAAGGUAACGGCCUACCAAGGCAACGAUGCGUAGCCGACUUGAGAGGGUGGUAGGCGACACGGGAGCUGAGACACGGUCCAGGGUCCUGAGGGAGGGACCAGUCGGGUAUCGGCCGCAAUGGGCGGAAGCCUGACGGAGCAACGCCGCGUGAGUGAUGGAAGUCUUCGGAUCGGGAAACUCUGUUAUUAGGGGAGAACAAAUGUGUAAGUAACUAUGCACGUCUUGACGGUAACUAAUCAGAAAGCCCCGGCUAACUACGUG